rnacentral:lncRNA from 1 species
AACACUUUCACGUCGCGACGGACGGACGAUUACUGACACUCUAACGACCGACUGACGUAGUAUCCAAGAUUCAAACGCCAUCUUUAAACAGAAUUCUAUCGAAAGUAUCAGUGCGCAAGCGUUAUUCCACCACCCUCUUCUCUCAGAACACACAACCCAAACCUUUUUCCAAUUCUCCUCGUGCAGUACGCAAGUAUUAUUCUCACUCGCUCAGGGAAAGUCGGAGAACAACGUUUAGUAGCAGCUGAUAGUUGUGGACAUUCAUUCGGUGUCCCUUCCCCCCAACCCCCUUUCCUAUUUUUUCCUUUCCCCCGGAAUUCUAAGAUCUUCUUACAAACUUUGUUAAUGACGUUCCAGGUAGACCGAGGAUGACCCCACGGUGAUUCGUUGGACAUGGAAUUUUUUUUCUAAGCAUUUUCGGACCUCUUCCAAUCUUAGCAUUCCCCUCAGAUGACUAGUGUCGUUAGGUACUAAAAAAAAUGGUGCUAAUCCGAUGAUAGAUCAAAUCCGGAGAGUAAGCUCUCCCUCCCCCCAUAAGGGACAGUUUCUCAUUCUCCCACGUGCCUAAAGCAACGCGUGACCGAGCGUUGUCAUGUUGCAAAAUGACGUGGCUUGUUCCGUUUUUGUUCCAGUUCGUUGUAUACUGUGGUUAACUGUUUUGUCGGUAGUAGUCUGGAGUUAUUGUUUGACCAGGUGGAAUCAACACUACAGACUAUAAAACAAUUCUUUUUUUCUAACGAUAAUACUUUUGAUAAUACUUUUUGCACGUUUUAUGAGUUAGAUAUCCCGUCCCUUCCUAAUGUCGGUGACGCAAGUGAUACUUCCGACACGUAAUCGUGACGUUUAUAAAUUGUUUUGGAUAGACCGAAAAGGAAGUCAAAUUGUAAAUGGGUACAUUAUUAUACUUUUUAGAUGGCAUCAAGAGUGCUGAUCAAAUUCGAAUUCGAACAGUAGUAUUAGGCUGAACAUCUAUCUACAUUUGACAUUACCAUUCUCAUGAUCAUUUUUAGAAAAUGCACGAAUUAUUCGAAUACGUCGUAGCAUCUGGUUUCGAAUAUCCUCAGGUCAAAGUGCCAGUGGCAUUAAUCUCUUAUAUCAUCUGGAGAGCAUGAAGAGGACUCGUUAAAUAUAUUCGAGAUAAAACUCAACGCAUGCGACACAACCAUAAUCUAUAUACUACAUGUGUAUAAAUAUGUUAGUUCGUUUAUAUAUAUAUGCACGUAGAUGUUUUGAACGGUGCAUAUUUUUCUUGGUUGGCAUAGACAUGCAGCCUGCACGUUUCGAUGAUGAAAAAGAAAGAAGUUUAAGCGGGGGUUGGUUGGGGUGGUAGGAAAAAAAGGUACGGGAGGAGAGGAAGGAACAGGUUUUGUUCUCCCUCCACGAAGCAUGACGUUGCUACAAGAUCAUUCGGUACAAAAGUGUGUGUGUGUGUAUGUGUGCAGGAACCACCUACGCGGCAAACACUGUAAAGAAAAAAGAAAAGAGAAAAGAGAAAGAGAGAGAGAGAGAGAUAAAUCGCACGCUUUGCGGUUUCUCUAACGCGUAACGGGGUUCGCAAAGAGAGAAAGAGAAAGGAAGAUAAAUAGUUUUUUUGUUUAUAGUUUCGUUCUCUUUUUACGAUUAAGGAUUCGUCAUCGAAUCCGCGUUUGGUAUGAUGAAUCCAGGAAAAAUAAAUGUUUCAUGAAAUCAAUUACGUUUCAGAAGAAUAGUUGGCGUUUUAAAUACUUUGCUGACGAUAGUAUGACAUUAAAUACGAAGGAAGUAAAUUCAUUCUGUUUUAAUGAAUGAAUGCGAGACCACGAGGGAAGGAAGAUCAUUUACGCUUACUGCAUUUCGUCUCCGUUGCAGUCUCGUCGUGCCAGUUGAAACAAAAAUGAUCUACCAAUAAGAAGGAAUAGUGGAGACAGUUUUUUCUGAUGCAGAUUAUACUCUACCUACGUAACAUUCCAUUUAUUCAUAAAGCAUUAACGAUUUAUCCUGAUUCGUCACCGGCUCCACCGUGAAGAUAAUUACACGAUGUUUAGAUAAUCGAAAAGAAGGAAAAAAAAACUACAGAAAAAGAGAUAUGGUAUGGUAAACCCGUUGCAAAUGCACUAGCCAACUUUAAUACAAACGUCGGAUUACAGUUGACCCAGUUACCAAUGACCACCACCGCCGAGCCCUCUUAGCCAACGAACUGCUUUACUUUCGUAGAAAAAUUCUAUACCACAGUAUGGUGGCGAGAUGGGAGCGAUCAAGGAACAGAACCUUGAAAAGACAAGUUAUACGAUAUGCUCGAAGCAUAGUGAUUCAUAGUCGAUUGGUUUGACGUAAUCGUGCCUCAACUACCAGAUCAGUAAUAAGGAGUACACUCGAUCACCAUGUAUUAACUUUAUUCCCGUUGACGCUUCCGCUCGUACAAUUAUAAAUCAACCAGACAUAGUAAAUCGCUUUGCGAACGAUUAUGGCAAAUAAAACAUUUUGACAAAAAUAA